UACGGAGGAUGCAAGCGUUAUCCGGAUUGAUUGGGCGUAAAGAGCUCGUAGGCGGUCUGUCGCGUCUGCUGUGAAAACCCGAGGCUCAACCUCGGGCCUGCAGUGGGUACGGGCAGACUAGAGUGCGGUAGGGGAGAAUGGAAUUCCUGGUGUAGCGGUGGAAUGCGCAGAUAUCAGGAGGAACACCGAUGGCGAAGGCAGUUCUCUGGGCCGUAACUGACGCUGAGGAGCGAAAGCGUGGGGAGCGAACAGG
rnacentral:rRNA from 1 species